rnacentral:lncRNA from 1 species
UGUUUCCCUAAAGUGUUAUCCCAAAUACAAUCAGGGGUUAUUUCAUUACUUCUAACAUGUCAUUGCCAAAGAUCUUUUCAUGGUUAAAACAUAUUUCUCUCAAGAUUAAAGGAAUUAUGGACUAACUACAAAAUGCAGUGAAACCUUCUCCUUGGGCUUCAUAAUAACAGGAACAGAGUUGAAUUGAAGGUGGGGAAUUUAUAGUCAAUGUGGAGACAGACAGUGUCAGAGAAACAUAUUGUCUUUCCUUCUUCUGAACAGAUUGGAUUCUCAGUGCAUAUAAAUGAGUCUAGUUCCUACUGGCAAGCAGCUGGCUGAGACUCGCUUUAGCAGUGGGAUGAAACUCACUUCGGGAGAGCUAGGGAGGUUCACAACAACAGUGUUAGAGUUAGAUUAGAUUCACAACAACAGUGUUCGAGAGGUGGGAGGUUCACAACAACAGUUGGAUUAGAUUCACAACAACAGUGUUAGAGUUAGAUCAGAUUCACAACAACAGUGUUAGAGAGGUGGGAGGUUCACAACAACAGUGUUAGAGAGGUGGGAGAUUUACAACAACAGUGUUAGAGAGGUGGGAGGUUCACAACAACAGUGUUAGAGAGGUGGGAGGUUCACAACAACAGUGUUAGAAAGGUGGGAGGAUAAGAUUCACAACAACAGUGUUAUUGAGGUGGGAGGUUCACAACAACAGUGUUAGAGAGGUG